UACGGGGGGAGCAAGCGUUGUUCGGAAUUACUGGGCGUAAAGCGAGUGUAGGCGGUUCGGUAAGUCGGAUGUGAAAGCCCCGGGCUCAACCCGGGAAGUGCACUCGAUACUGCCGAGCUAGAGUAUCGGAGAGGUUGGUGGAAUUCUCGGUGUAGAGGUGAAAUUCGUAGAUAUCGAGAGGAACACCGGUGGCGAAGGCGGCCAACUGGACGAAUACUGACGCUGAGACUCGAAAGCGUGGGGAGCAAACAGG
rnacentral:rRNA from 1 species